rnacentral:tmRNA from 1 species
GGUUAAAAUAGGGCCAAAAAGAAUAGUUGGCAACAACUACAACAAUACUGUUUGGGCUCACGCCUAAGCCCGUUUGCUCUGCUUUGCCGGCGUGCGGGGCAUAACGGUCAAAUCAGCCGGCUGCUGCGGGGAAGGUUCGUUUAGCCUAAUCCCGUUUAAGACAAAUUAAACAAGCGCGCAAGCAGCAGCUUCGGGUAUGCGGGCGCGUUUUUAAACCGGAGCUAAACCUGUAGUAACCGUAUUGUAUGGAUGUUUGGACGCGGGUGCGAAUCCCGCCUCCUCCACU